rnacentral:rRNA from 1 species
GACGAACGCUGGCGGCGUGCUUAACACAUGCAAGUCGAACGGAAAGGCACUGCUUUUGUGGGGUGCUCGAGUGGCGAACGGGGGAGUAACACGUGAGUAACCUGCCCUUGACUUUGGGAUAACUUCAGGAAACUGGGGCUAAUACCGGAUAGGAGCUCCUGCUGCAUGGUGGGGGUUGGAAAGUUUCGGCGGUUGGGGAUGGACUCGCGGCUUAUCGGCUUGUUGGUGGGGUAGGGGCAUACCAAGGCUUUGACUGGUAGCCGGCCUGGGAGGGUGACCGGCCACCUUGGGCCUGAGAUACGGCCCAGACUCCUACGGGAGGCAGCAGUGGGGAAUCUUGCACAAUGGGCGGAAGCCUGAUGCAGCAACGCCGCGUGCGGGAUGACGUCCUUCGGGUUGUAAACCGCUUUCGCCUGUGACGAAGCGUGAGUGACGGUAAUGGGUAAAGAAGCACCGGCUAACUACGUG